UACAGAGGGGGCGAGCGUUGUUCGGAAUUACUGGGCGUAAAGGGCGCGUAGGCGGCCCGCUAAGUCGAACGUGAAAUCCCCAGGCUCAACCUGGGAACUGCGUCCGAUACUGGAUGGCUUGAAUCCGGGAGAGGGAUGCAGAAUUCCAGGUGUAGCGGUGAAAUGCGUAGAUAUCUGGAGGAAUACCGGUGGCGAAGGCGGCAUCCUGGACCGGCAUUGACGCUGAGGGGCGAAAGCCAGGGGAGCAAACGGG
rnacentral:rRNA from 1 species